rnacentral:rRNA from 1 species
CACGUAGGGCGCAAGCGUUGUCCGGAAUUAUUGGGCGUAAAGAGCUCGUAGGCGGUCUGUUGCGUCCGCUGUGAAAACCCGGGGCUUAACCCCUGGCUUGCAGUGGAUACGGACAGACUAGAGGUAGGUAGGGGAGAAUGGAAUUCCCGGUGUAGCGGUGAAAUGCGCAGAUAUCGGGAGGAACACCGGUGGCGAAGGCGGUUCUCUGGACAGUUCCUGACGCUGAAGCACGAAGGCCAGGGGAGCAAACGGG